GUGAAAUGGCAACAAAGUUUAUUUUCUUUGCUACCUUCUACAUGUACAUAGUUUCAACCUAAAUAUGUUACCGCACCCGUGUCUGAUCCUCGAAAAAAUGUACUACUUUUUGGUGGAUCCGCCACGCCUCUCCACAACACUUGGGAAGAGUCCGAGCAACAUAGGUUUCAACUUCAUUUCAACAGAACCAGCUAGUACAUAUAAUACAUAAACUUUGUGUUCUUCAAUCCUUUUAUCAAUGGAGGAAAACACGAAAACUAAGAGAGAGUUCUCGAGGCUUCCUUUUUCGCGGGAGUAUAGCUACCGUAGAUAUAAGAGCCAAAUCCCCAGAAUGUAAUAAUCAAAGACAGGAUCUUGAAACCACUCAUAGGAUCAUGCAACAAUAUCACAGCAGCAAUGCUAGUGAUCGGUACUCUUACAGCGUUAAGGACACCAGCCAAGACAGUGGAUGAGAGGAACACAACUGCGGUGGCUCCCAACACUCCCAACUGGAAAGUGAUAGUCCCCCAAACGAUAACUGAGUAAUACGCGUUUUCCCCACCCUUGAAUGUACUUGCCUCGGAUUUCAUCCCAUGGAAACCGUUGCUCAUAACCAGUCCGAUUGUUGUGAAUAUAAACGCAAAGAGGGAAACCAUGAGUUGCUGCUCAAGAACAACAAGGAAAGACCUUUUACCAAGUAAUUUCACAAAAAUCAACUCUGAUAAGGCGAAAAUCAGACCGUGGAGUGCAGAUCCCAGUAUAUCCCACACAAAAC
rnacentral:misc_RNA from 1 species